rnacentral:lncRNA from 14 species
GGGGAGAGGAGAAAGAGAAAGACAGAGAGACAGUGAGAGAGACAGAGCUAAAAACAGCAUGUGGCCCGAAUAGCAGGGUUAUAUAGGGUUGAGAAGCUGUGGGGAGGCGGGAGCUCCAAGCUGGAGAACUCUGGGAAGUGGGGCGUGGCGAGGAGCCCGGAUGCCAGCUUUGACUCUGUCACAGGUAUUUGUGAUGUUGAGAGAGCCUACCAGCGAGCGGUUUGGUAUGCUAAUGAGCAGCCCGACAGAAGUCUAGAAGGUCUCUUUGGCUUUGUGUAUAGCUUCUCACCCAACCCAAGUCAAAGCAGCCUUUGAAGGACUUGAACGGAAGGCUCUUGGAGCAGUGGGCUCUAGGCUCCUGCAGCUUGCCAGAGGACUUCCCUUGCUUAUGGUUCUAGGACCGAGGUUCUUAUUGCUUACUGGCAGUCCGCUGUGCUGUGGAGAGGCUCAAUACUUAAGACAUCAUCAGUUCUCAACCUCGGGGUCGCGACCCCUUUUAGGGGUCGAGGGACCCUUUCACAGGGGUCACAUAUCAGAGACCCUGCGUAUUAGAUAAUUAUAUCGCAAUUCAUAACAGGAGCAAAAUUACAGUUAUGAAGUAGCAAUGAAAUAAUUUUAUGGUUUGUGUGUGUGGGGGUCACUGCAUCAUGAAGGACUGUAAAGGGUGUCGUCAUCUGACAGGUUGAGAGCCACUCUUAAAGAAAGCUGUUGUUCCUCAGGCCUAUGGCUCUCUCUCAGCACAGAGAGGCCCCACGGCUUUCACAGCUGUCAGAAGGGUUGGCUAAACGGAUAGCUCAGCACUGCAGCGAUGUCCUGAUAAUCUAUUGCAGCCUGGCUCUCUUCUUUGUCUACCAGUGGCUGCAUGCAGCGGGUCGGAAAGGAAGGGAAUUUUCGCUUUCACUUUCCUGCUCGAUUCGGUUCUCCGAGACGGUCCCGAUUGGGUGUACGGGAAAGACAGAGUAUGAAGAAGGAGGAACAAACGACAGCCCCUUCAUUUUUUGUCAAGGAUUUGGACCUUUACGACGUGAGCGCCUCUGCAGAAAGCUGCUGAAUAAGCAUUUUUUCCUGUUGCUUUGCCUCUUGGAUACACGGGCACUGCACGGGUGCAGAGUGUGGAUUCAGCUUCCCGUGGACAACUAGCCCCGUCUCCUACUGUCGUGCUGGUCAGUCUAAGUGGUCCUAACGCCUUAGAUUAUCAGACAAUCUAAGCUUGCUGUGAGCGAGUGCUGCUGCCGGUGUUUGUAUACCACGGUGCAUGGAGUGUUUGACAAAGAAACCAAAAGACCAAAAAUCGAGAGCCUUUACCCUCCUCCGUUUCUUUAAUCUGUCGGUCAAGGAACCACAUUGAAUGGUAUUAUCAGUAGUUACCUCUGGGCCAGGUUGGAAAUGAAAUCAAUUUUUUUAAACCACUAAUAACUUGCCAAGAAAUCGCCUUAUGAGAACAUGGUGUGUGUCUCUGACAGUGCGUGGCACAUCUAAAUUGGUCAUCCAUAAUUUUAUUGUCCUGCUCAUGUACUGGAGAAUGACAAAAGCCUGAGGCACCUGCAUAUCCACUCCACAUGCUCCUUGAAGCCCUCGGCUGGGACACAACCUGGCCUCAGGCUCUUCUUGUUCUCCUACGUGCAGGUCUCAUGACAAAGCUGAGGUUCAUACAUGUUUCACCAUCGAAAUGCUGUGCAAGCAGUGUGAGCCUGGAUCUUCUGUAAGUGAAGGGUCAUUUCUCUCUCUCUCUCUCUCUCUCUCUCUCUCUCUCUCGAUUGCUCUUUUUUGUUUUUUGCUUUUUUUUCGUUUGUUUGUUUUGUUUGGUUGGUUUUUUUUGUUUUUUUGUUUUUUGUUUUUGUUUUAAGAAAAUGUCUCCAACAUGGACUCCAAAGCAUUUUCAGCAUCAAACAUGGAAACAUUGACGAAUGAAGCGCAAUCACAAAAGCUGUAUGUCUGUAAAUAGCAUUAUGCAACCUGUGUGGAUAGAGUCCUUAUCUUAAAGCACAUGCCAGGGAAAGAGACCCGUGUUCCGAGGUCUUUUGCAUACAGUGACAAGGUACUAAGGAGAAUUCGCCUCCUGCUGCUUCCUCUGGAGAUUAAAAAGCAUUAGUCCUUACAACUUGGUAAAAACACACAACUGAGCCUGGUGAAUGUGCAGCUCUUGUACUGACCUGAUAUCUUGUCGACGGGAGAAACCCUCCCACCUGCAUUUCUAAAGGACAAACAAUGAAUUUAAGCAUGAGUGGCCUUAAUAAAUACCAUUGUCUUUCUUUGCUGCUGUGGAAAGGGUUCUAAGCAGAAGUUGCUGAAAUCUUACAUCGAGUCUCAUCAUUAUAAAUUUCCAAAAUAUUGGUGCAAUUAACUCUGGACCUCUCUCAUGAGCCAUAGAGAUAUUUCAAAAACAAACCCCUUAUUUGCUGGGGAAAGGAAACUGUCCCUGGGCUGCACCCUUUAUUCCUGGUGCACCAGGGGUACUAUAUUCAAGCUGGUUUCUUGCUUUGGGCUUCAUUCUUGUCAGUAAGUAGUGACCUGUGUAAAGCUCACGUGUUACAUACAUGAUUCACAUACAUUCAUGUUUAAAAGGUUUGUCCUUUAACUCUCAAGAGGAUUUAGGCCUUUGCUACAGAAGGGAGCAGAGUUCUUUGCGAGUUUGUUUAGUACAUUUUGGCCGAGGCUUGCAGUGGGAAACCCAAGCCACAGACCAGUCAGUCCCUAGGUAUGGUUUGGGCAUUGUCAGAGAAGUCCUCACACCCUCUUACCACCAGGUCCUGGCCUGAACUCUGCAACUAAAUACUUGAAAUUGGAAGUAGGAGAGCCAGGAUGGUAAGCAGGAUCCUUGAAGUAGCAACAAAGUGAUCUAUUAUAUGUCAUUAGCUAUCUGCAUUCGUGCCAAUUUUGACACAGCUAAUGUUUGGGGAUCAUUUCUUCACCCCACUUUUGUUGGUCAGAAGUAUUAAUUGAUCUUCAUCACAUGCAAACAUAUCAUUCAGUCCCUGAAAAACCAAAUUCUAAGACAGCAUCUUUUCUCAUUUUUUUUUUGUAACAUUCUCUGAUAUUUGGGAGUUACAACAAAACCAUCCCUUUCCACUGGUUGAAAAUAGUGUCUGGGUUUACAACAAACACUGUGUUGUUUAGACGAUAUUUCCUUUGUGAAAUCUUUAGCAGAUUCCCUUCUAAUCAUGGUGUAGUUGAGAUUAAACAAAAAAAGUUUGGGCUAACAUUUAGGAGAAGUUGGUCUAAGUCUUACCUUGUGCAAAAGCAGGCUUGUAUUUGUAGCCUAUUUGAUUUCUAUAUACAGUCUCAAUUUUGUAUUUAAUGAUUUUUGUGUAUUAAGUAUGCACGUUAACAGCGUGUCAACUUUCAUUUGGAAGUGGGUUUUAUUUUUUAAACAGUGUUUAUGAUGAGCCCUCAAGUGUAUUGACAUAAACUCUAGCUGCACUGUCUUUGUGUAGAGCGCCGUUUGAAUGCUGCCAAGGGUCCGUGUAUCUACUUCCCCGAGACCCUUGUUUGAUAGUGCUUCUUGUAAUAUUUCUUCAAGUGAGUGGCAUGUGGGUUGUGAUUUUGAUCCAUGUGAUUAUGGACAUCGAUAUGAAAAAAAUAAAAAUAAAUAAAUAAAUAAAAUUAAGGAACCCUCGAAACUACCAACGGGCAUGUAUCAGCCAGUCAUCGUAACCUCAUGUCUAGUAGAAAUAACCAUGUGCAAGGUAUGUACAGCUCAUAACUUUGUUAUUGUGUGUAUGAGGAGUACUUUGUGCCGAUUGUCUUAUUUAUAUUCAUCAAAUAAACCUUGUUUCUUUCCGAA